rnacentral:rRNA from 1 species
CCCGGCGACCGGCGCACGGGUGAGUAACACGUAUGCAACCUGGCCGUGACAGAUGGAUAACCGGGAGAAAUCCCGCCCUAAUACAGCAUGACGCCGGAAGGGACAUCCCUUUCCGGCCAAAGGGGGCGACUCCGGUCACGGAUGGGCAUGCGGCGCAUUAGGUAGUUGGUGGGGCAACGGCCCACCAAGCCGACGAUGCGUAGGGGUUCUGAGAGGAAGGUCCCCCACAUUGGAACUGAGACACGGUCCAAACUCCUACGGGAGGCAGCAG